rnacentral:lncRNA from 1 species
GCUUGGUCUUGUAGGUCUGAACAGAGUUGCAGCAGUGUAAUGCAUGCAAAUAAAGAAAAUACUGCUGGUAUAUUAAUCCUUUCUUCUAGGGAUUUAUAAAACCAAGGGACAGAAAAAAGCCCAUCACACUUCAAAGGAACAAAAUGAGAAUUCUGGUAAAUAAAUGUACACCAGACCAGCGUUGCAUGCUUUCAUGAGGUGACUGUGUACAGGUCUGUCUUAAAUGGAAAAAAAUAAAAACAAAAGCCUAGGGCAAACCAAAGACAUAUAAAGUGACCUGCUGUCAGGCAGAGGAAAUGAAAGAAGGAUGAGACAGACAACUGGAAGUGCAGGUGGUUUUACUGCUUUUGUGAUGAAACUGUCUUCUGCCUUUGAUUCCUUUAAGGGGAGCAUGCAGUUCAGCAAACCCCUACUUUAUUUCAGUGCAUGCAAAGUAGAUUACGGCGGCAUCCAAAGGAAGAACAAAUGGAAGUGA